rnacentral:rRNA from 1 species
AUCGAACGCUGGCGGCAGGCCUAACACAUGCAAGUCGAGCGAGCGGCGGACGGGUGAGUAAUGUCUGGGAAACUGCCUGAUGGAGGCGGAUAACUACUGGAAACGGUAGCUAAUACCGCAUACCAUCAGAUGUGCCUAGAUUGGAUUAGCGAGUAGGUGGGGUAAUGUCUCACCUAGGCGACGAUCCCUAGCUGGUCUGAGAGGAUGACUCGCCACACUGGAACUGAGACACGGUCCAAACUCCUACGGGAGGCAGCAGUGGGGAAUAUUGCACAAUGGGCGCAAGCCUGAUGCAGCCAUGCCGCGUGUGUGAAGAAGGCCUUCGGGUUGUAAAGCACUUUCAGCGGGGAGGCGUUACCCGCAGAAGAAGCACCGGCUAACUCCGUGCCAGCAGCCGCGGUAAUAC